rfam:Asian citrus Psyllid, Diaphorina citri - Florida Strain, whole genome shotgun sequence.
GCCUAGUUAGCUUAGUUGGUAGUGCGUCUGCCUUGUAAGCGCUAGGCCGCGGAUUCGAUUCCUGCCCGGGGCG